rfam:Ictidomys tridecemlineatus contig067728, whole genome shotgun sequence.
UAUGUUGUAGCUCAGUGGUAAAGCACUUGCCUUGCAUGCAUGAGGCCCUGGGUUUGGUCCCCAGCAUCACAU